CAAAACAAAACAAAACAAAACAAAACAAAACAAAACAAAACAAAACAAAACAAAACAAAACAAAACACAAAACAAAACAAAACACAAAACAAAACAAAACACAGCACAAAACAAAACACAAAACAAAACACAAAACAAAACACAAAACAAAACACAAAACAAAACACAAAACACAAAACACAAAACACAAAACACAAAACACAAAACACAAAACACAAAACACAAA
rnacentral:lncRNA from 1 species